rnacentral:rRNA from 1 species
GGGUGCGACCAUACCAGCACUAACGCACCGGAUCCCAUCAGAACUCCGAAGUUAAGCGUGCUUGGGCGAGAGUAGUACUAGGAUGGGUGACCCCCUGGGAAGUCCUCGUGUUGCACCCC